ensembl:lincRNA 2010110K18Rik RIKEN cDNA 2010110K18 gene
AUCUUCAAGAACUGCUUUUGGAUCAAGUAUUCGCUUCUCCUUGCUUCUUUCUCGCGUUAUUCCUCUUGAGUUUUGUUACCUUUCGGCUGGAAAUGGACCACUUGCCGCUGGUGUGGCAGUGGUUGGAGCAUGACCAUGUUGAUGAUGAGCUGUCACUGGCCCAUUCCAAGAGGUUUUCUGGAUAGAAAUUCCUUUUCAGGGAGAUUAGAGGGACGGAACCUUUUGACGUAUUCUUUAUGACAGGAGGGUUUCAUGCCUAUAAUCCCAGCACUUGGAAGACGGAGAUAAAAGGGUCGCCGUGAGUUUGAGGACAGCCUGCACUACAGAAAACUACUUCCCCAGAACGGAGGUGUGUGAAAUGUCUUUGUCCCCCUAGGAAGUGUGGGAGUCACCACUGAGCCUUGUCAGGCCAGGUGGGAAGCUGAGACCGAUGAAGUGGUCCUGCAGCGGUGGCAGAAGCAGAUAGAUUAUGGCAAGUGCAUACCUGGGUACCAGAGCUUUCUGCAGCAGGUCCCCAGGUGAGUGCAGUUGUAGGCAGCCACAAGGAUGCCAACCAAAUGGCUGUAGCUCAUUGUCAGGUGCUGGAAGAUAACUGGAAAGUGGAUGCAGAUGGACUGGUUCUCCUGCCGUCUAGUCCCCAAUACGUUUGAGAUUUCUCUCAAGUAGAAGCGUACUUUCCCAGAAGGCUUUCAAGGCUUGCCAUGUUCCGCCCCCUCCCCCCCCCCCCCCCCCCCCGCCCGCCCCUUCUUUUUAAUCAUUUAAUGUGUGUGUUGGGUGAGGGCAGAUGUGCUUGUGGAAGUCAGAGGGAUCUUUACUUCCAGGACAGGCUCUUCUGGGGAUCAAACUUGCUCAUCUGGCCCUCCUAUCCUACCUAGUGGUUUUUAACCUCCUAAACCAUCUUGCUGUCCCCCACAUUCCUUUUCUUAUUAAUUUUCUUUGUUACUGUACAAAGGAAUGGUUUCAUUGGGAUGACUUCAUUAUAUGAAAGUAUUUCACUAUUAUUUGUUCAUUUAACUUUUUAAAGCUUUUAUUGUGCGUUUAUGUUUUCCCUGCAUGUAUGUCUAUACACCACAUGAAUGCUGUGGAGGCCAGAAGAGGAUAUCAGAUUCCCUGGGACUGGAACUGCAGAAAGUUGUGAGCUAUCAUGUGGGUGCUGGGAAUCAAAUCCAGGUCCUCUGAGCUGUCUCAGCCCCCCUCUUCUAUUUUCCAUAUGUUCCAAUAUUCUCUUAUUCUCUCCUCUCUGCUCCCUUCAGACCUCUUACCUCAUGUCUCUCUCUCUCUCUCUCUCUCUCUCUCUCUCUCUCUCUCCCCCCUCUCUCUCUCUCUCUCACACACAAACAAACAAAAUGUAUCAAAAGUUGGAUAUCAUCUUUACUCAAGGGCCAGUGUAAGUUUCUGUAUCAUUACAAUUCCCCUCAAAGUGAGCAUUACAAGUGAACAUUAUUCCCCACCCUUUCCCUCCCUCUCCCUCCGUGUCUCUCAGACAGUCUCAUGUAGCCUCAGCUGGCCUCAAUCUCUCUAUGUAGUUAAGAAUGACAUUGAACUUGCCUCCACCUCUGAGGGCUAACAUUUCAGGAUGUGCCACCAGGCCUGGCUUCACUGAAUUCGCUGGAUUGGAGCAUCAUCCUGUCCUUGGGUAAUCCUGUCUAGGCUUCUGAUUUACUGUGAUAAGCAAUGAGCAGUGUCCCUUUCCUUUGACUUCAAUCUGACCCAUAUUUGUCAUUGUCAGGGCACAGCGACAGCCGGGUUUUCACCCUCAAACACCAAACAAAAACAGGAGAUACAGUCGCAGAUCCUGAGAUGCCCAAAUCAGGCAAUGGAGAAGAGCCCUGCAUACCUGGGACCCCCCAAGCCAGCCUCUCCAUGACAGACAGGCUGAGGGGUGUGUUCACUAAUCUGGCUCCUAUGAGUGGUGUGGUUUAAGUCCUACUUUGUCCACUGCAAAGAUUUGGGUUGUAUAAUUGUGGGGGGGGGCGGUAUCUGCAUGAGUGUAUGUUCUCUCAUUCUGCUGCCCCUCUAGGAAAGCAACAAAGAACUUCCUAAGGACAUUGGGUUCUACUCCUUUAGAUGAUCUCCUGGUAGCUGGCCCCAGGGCUCAGAAUCCUCAGAGAAUUGGGACAGAGGUGAGAAAGAGGCCCAGGUAGUAUCCUCUGCUGAAACCACUGGCUCAGGAAAAUAGAUGGGGUUUGACCUGUGAGAGCAUAAAUAAGGUAUAGUCCAAAGGAGACGGGGCUAGAGCUAUACGGCCUCCAUGGGUCUGAUCUCUCUUCACCAGAGAUGAAGGAAUUGGGCAUGGUGGUGCAAAAUCCUGUGGGCUCUGGGAAGGUGAAAGUAAGAGGAACAGGAGUUUUAUUUAUGUUAAGUAACAUAAAUAAAGCUGAUUUUUAUAAAAC